rnacentral:rRNA from 1 species
GACGUAGGGCGCGAGCGUCGUCCGGAUUUAUUGGGCGUAAAGAGCUCGUAGGCGGCUUGUCGCGUCGACCGUGAAAACUUGGGGCUCAACCCCAAGCCUGCGGUCGAUACGGGCAGGCUCGAGUUCGGUAGGGGAGACUGGAAUUCCUGGUGUAGCGGUGAAAUGCGCAGAUAUCAGGAGGAACACCGAUGGCGAAGGCAGGUCUCUGGGCCACUACUGACGCUGAGAAGCGAAAGCAUGGGGAGCGAACAGG